GUCAACCACCAGGAACUAUGCAUUUCCUCCAUUCGCCCUUAUGCCUCGUUGCCUCCUCCAUCUGCGACGCCAAUGGAGCUGCCUAGUUAUAAUAACCCCCCUAUGGCCGUCGCAGCCUUGGUUUCCUCCUCUACUGCAGAUGGCCAUAGAUCACCCGCGGCUCCUCCCGGAUGCCCACCCCCUGAUCCUUCAGGGCCUCCUCUGCCUCAUGGCAUGGUUGAUCUCCGGGGACCCUGGUCAAUCGCAGGAGUUUCGCAAUAGACUCUCCGACUUCUCGAGGGUGCAUGGGCACCCGGCACGACACAGUCUUAUAAGUCUGCUUGGCGGGCAUGGGAUGGUUGGUGCGUGGCACGGGGUGUCUAUCCCCUAUCAACUACUGUAACAAAAGUCCUACAAUUCUUAACCUCCCUGUAUGAUACUGGGAAAGCUUACAGGACGAUAAACCUCUACCGAUCAGCUAUCUCAGUCGGCCAUACCGGCAUCGAUGGAACCCCGAUAGGACGACAUCCACUGGUUUGUCGUCUUCUCCGAGGCAUUCGCUUUGCGAGGCCACCCCUACCUCGCUAUUCCUCCCUAUGGGACGUCUCCCUGGUAUUACAAUUCCUGACUAGGUGGCCAGACAACGA